rnacentral:tRNA from 2 species
GCCCCCGUAGCUCAGGGGAUAGAGCGUCGGUUUCCUAAACCGUGCGUCGCAGGUUCGAGUCCUGCCGGGGGCGC